UACGGAGGGUGCAAGCGUUGUUCGGAAUUAUUGGGCGUAAAGCGCACGCAGGCGGGUUCGUGUGUCGAUUGUGAAAGCCCCAGGCUUAACCUGGGAAUUGCAGUCGAAACUGCGGAUCUUGAAUACCUGAGAGGGUGGGAGAAUUCCUGGUGGAGUAGUGAAAUACGUAGAGAUCAGGAGGAAUACCUGAGGCGAAGGCGCCUACCUGGCAGUGUAUUGACGCUGAGGUGCGAAAGCGUGGGUAGCAAACAGG
rnacentral:rRNA from 1 species